AUGCUUCCAGUGCCAAGGAGGGGGAAAUUGUGCUGCUUCAAUGUAUCCUCGAUGAGCAGUUUCCUCCUACACGAGUUGUCUUCUGCAAGAAUGGGCUGGAGGAGUUCAGCCUGAAAGCCCAGCAGGGCAGGCUCAUCUACGCUCUGGUCCUGAACAUCAACUCCAGAAGUGCUGGGACGUACACGUGUGGGUACCAGCAGAGGAACAAGAAAAACUAUGUGAGGAACUCUGCUCUCAGUGCUCCCCAGACCUUGUCUGUGGCAGGUGAGACACGGCCUUAGGGUGGUAAGGGUAGAAGUUUUCAGAAAACUGCUGGGGCUGGUGCUGUGUGCUGCAGCAGGCAGGGCAUGGCUCUGGGGUGGUUCCCUCUCAGGAGUGUUCCCUCUCUUCAGAGGCAGCCCCUACAAAGAGAAAGCUGCUCUCAAGGGCUGUCCCCAUCCCUGCAGCAGCAGCUCAGCUGAGGCAUGGGGCUGUGCAGUUCCCAUGCAGAGAGAGCAAGAGCUGGGGAUGUUGAUGGACCCUGGGUUGAGCCUGGCAUGUUCCAAGAUCUGCCCUGUACAUUGAUGAGCCUAUGGCAGGGGAAGUGGUGUGAUUCUCAUGAGACAGGCUAUAGCCUGUACAUCAGCAAGAGUGUGGGAUGGUUCCAGAAGGGAGAGCACAGUGGUGCUGGUUUGAGACACAGAAAGGUGCCCGCUCAGCAAGAACAAACUGGAAGAAAAAGAACUCGGGUUUGGCGGUGUGCCAGGUCUUGGCCCCACUAAGAAAAACCCUUUUUGCCCCAAGGUGCAGGUGCUGGUGAGACCACCACUGACAUCCACAGCUCCAAUGCUCCACAUGCCCGGAUCCCACACACCCUCCCCACAGGCACGGUGCUGGCAGUGGCGGCCGUCAGCCUCGUCCUCUUGUCUGCAGUCAGCUGGUUUGCCAUCAGGAAAGGUGAGGGAGAGGGGGAAGAAGGAGGGAAGGCUGAGGCUGUGGGGAUCCUGCUGCGGGACUGGUGCGCUAGGAAAGGCGGUGGGGGGAAACCUGGGUGUGUGCGGCUGGGCCAGACGGUGCCUGGGGGUGAUGGCUGUGGGCAGCUCAGCUGGGGAGGCUCCCGAGGGAGCUGGGGAGCUUCAGCCUUCAUCCCCCAGCCCCGAGAUGGGAGCCAGGGCUGGGCAGCACCUUGGCCUGUGCACCUCAGCCCCUGUUCUUCUUGCAGGUGCCUGCAGAGGGAGAUGCCCAAGGUGAGCACCAUGGGAUGGUGGCUGUGGGGUAUGGGGGAGGUAGUUGGGGGCAUAUUGAGGUCAUGGGGUGCU
rnacentral:lncRNA from 1 species